CCCUUAGAUGUCCUGGGCCGCACGCGCGCUACACUGACAUGUUCAACAAGCCUCCUAGUUCGACAGGAUUUGGGAAAUCUUUGAACGCAUGUCGUGAUAGGGAUAGAUCAUUGCAAUUAUUGAUCUUGAACGAGGAAUACCUAGUAAACGCGAGUCAUCAGCUCGCAUUGAUUACGUCCCUGCCCUUUGUACACACCGCCCGUCGCACCUACCGAUUGAAUGUUUCGGUGAAGAUUCCGGAUAGGACUUUUUUGAUUUAUUUCAAUUUUGUCUUAAAAGCUAUCUAAACCUCAACAUUUAGAGGAAGGUGAAGUCGUAACA
rnacentral:rRNA from 1 species